UUGUAUGAUAUCAGUUUUAAUAUUUUGUGUACUAAAUGUUCCAAAUCAUUUUCUAUGUUGUUUUGACGCGUUGGCAAUACAAAAUGUAUUUUUUGAAUGUAUUUUUUGCCA